rnacentral:rRNA from 1 species
CAGCCGCCGCGGUAAUACCAGCUCUCCGAGUGGUGUGGACGUUUAUUGGGCCUAAAGCAUCCGUAGCUGGCUGGGCAAGUCCCCUGUUAAAUCCACCGAUUUAAUCGUUGGUGUGCGGGGGGAUACUGCUCGGCUAGGGGACGAGAGAGGCAAGCGGUAUUCCCGGGGUAGGGGUGAAAUCCUAUAAUCCCGAGAAGACCACCAGUGGCGAAGGCUGCUUGCUAGAACGCGCCCGACGGUGAGGGAUGAAAGCUGGGGGAGCGAACCGGAUUAGAUACCCGGGUAGUCCCAGCUGUAAACGAUGCAGACUAGGUGUUUGGACGGCCACGUGCCGUUCUAGUGCCGCAGGGAAGCUGCUAAGUCUGCCGCCUGGGGAGUACGAUCGCAAGAUUGAAACUUAAAGGAAUUGGCGGGGGAGCACCACAAGGGGUGAAGCUUGCGGUUUAAUUGGAGUCAACGCCGGAAAUCUCACCGGGAGCGACAGCAGUGUGAUAGCCAGAUUAAAGGUCUUGCUAGACGAGCUGAGGAGUGGUGCAUGG